rnacentral:rRNA from 1 species
GUGGGGAAUAUUGGACAAUGGGCGCAAGCCUGAUCCAGCCAUGCCGCGUGAGUGACGAAGGUCUUCGGAUUGUAAAGCUCUUUUGCCAGGGACGAUAAUGACGGUACCUGGAGAAUAAGCCCCGGCUAACUUCGUGCCAGCAGCCGCGGUAAUACGAAGGGGGCUAGCGUUGUUCGGAAUUACUGGGCGUAAAGCGCACGUAGGCGGAUUUGUUAGUCAGGGGUGAAAUCCCGGGGCUCAACCUCGGAACUGCCUUUGAUACUGCAAGUCUAGAGUCCGGAAGAGGUGAGUGGAAUUCCUAGUGUAGAGGUGAAAUUCGUAGAUAUUAGGAAGAACACCAGUGGCGAAGGCGGCUCACUGGUCCGGUACUGACGCUGAGGUGCGAAAGCGUGGGGAGCAAACAGGAUUAGAAACCCCGGUAGUCC